UUCAUAAAGAAUAUAAAAAUUGCUUGAAAAGACUUGAUAGAAAGUUAAUAUCUUCCUGAAGAUGAAGUUUUUAAUUUUAAUUGGUAUCUUGAACAUAUUUUAUUUAUGUUCAUUUUGUUUAAAAAUUUUUAAAUUAUUAUUUUUAAAAAAAUAUUUUUAUUUUAAAAAAAAUAAAAUUAGUAUUAAAUAGAAACGAGAUGUUGAUUCAUGUGGUAGAUAUAAUCUCUAUUUUUGACAUUUUAAAUAAAAAUUUUAUUAAUUUUUAAAAAAUAUUAAAUGUUUCUUGAUCAGUGCCCUUGGGGCACUGGUUAGCAAAAUAAUUUAAUUAAAUGAAGGGG
rnacentral:lncRNA from 1 species